GACGAACGCUGGCGGCGUGCUUAACACAUGCAAGUCGAACGGAAAGGCCCUGCUUUUGUGGGGUGCUCGAGUGGCGACCGGGUGAGUAACACGUGAGUAACCUGUCCUUGACUUUGGGAUAACUUCAGGAAACUGGGGCUAAUACCGGAUAGGAGCUCCUGCUGCAUGGUGGGGGUUGGAAAGUUUCGGCGGUUGGUGAUGGACUGGCGGCUUAUCAGCUUGUUGGUUGGGUAGUGGCUGACCAAGGCUUUGCCGGGUAGCAGGCCUGAGAGGGUGACCGGACACGCUGGGCUUGAGAUGCGACACAGACUCGAACGGGAGGCAAGGGUGGAGAAUAUUAUACUAUAGGCGGAAGGCUGAUGCAGUCAAGCCGCGCGGGGGAUGAGGUGAUUCGGGUUGUGAACCGCUUUCGCCUGAGACGAAGCGUGAGUGACGGUAAUGGGUGAAGAAGCACCGGCUAACUACGUG
rnacentral:rRNA from 1 species